AUACUUACCUGGCAGGGGAGAUACCAUGAUCAAGAAGGUGGUUCACCCAGGGUGAGGCUCAGCCAUUGCACNNN
ensembl:snRNA U1 U1 spliceosomal RNA